UCUUGCAGGGAUGUCAAACUUGCCCUCACUGAGGACUAUGUCCGAUUAUGAGACCUUCACCGUACUCAUACUAUCUGAGCUUGA